AGAACUUACUAAAGCAGUAGUGUGCUGCUCCUCCCUAGGAGCCUUUUUGGGUGAAGUUUUCUGAAAGCUGAGCUCUGGAGGAAGCUUGAGAGCUUGGGAUACCAGAUAUUACCAUGAGUGGUGGUGACGGGGACUGCAGGAGCAGUGAGAUUUCCAGAAGCACGGGUUCAUGUAUGGGGAAUGUGAGCCCCAGCUCCCAGCAGGAAGACCCUAUCCAAAUAGUGGCUUGCAAUGAUGGUUUUUAUUCCUGCUGACUAUUCUGGGUACAUGUACUGAAGUCAAUACUUGCAGAUACUUGCCCAUUUCAGUGCUUCUGGUGAGUUUCAUUGCAGCCACUUCAUGCCAUUGCCCCCAGGCCUGAACACCGAGGACAGAACCCUUCCACCCAAAUUUUCCAAAUGGCUCCAUCCCUGUUCAGGCACAGGGGGAUGAGUGUGUUUGAAAAUUUGGCUGCCCCUUCCCAUGCUCCAUCCUCCCAGAAUCUCCUCUCCACUGGCCUUGGCAUCUUUGCGUCUUCUCAUGCAAAAGAAGUGGCACCCACGUUUCCACAACAUAACUGUACGUACCACUGGGCCAUGUAGUGAGGGUUGACACCUCUCUGGCUUUGCCUUGGGAUCGCAUUCCUGUGGAUGCCAGCCCUCUGCCCAGCUGCUGUGACACGUUCUGCUCAGACCGCUGCCGAUAAAUGGGCAAAUUGCCGGAUGGCUGGAAACGGCGCGCACCGCGUCCCCUGUAAUUUGUACUGCCACACAGCUGUUUGUGGAAGUGAAAUACAAUCAAUGGAUCAGACCAGAAGGCUCCAAUUUAAUCUCUGCAAACACUGAAGAGUCAGGAUUUUCUCUUGUUGUUUUUUUUUUUUCAAUGCCACCAAAGCCCAAGCCCAUCAUGCUCAGACAAAAUCUUUGAGCAAUUUCCUACCUUUGCACUUUUUAUUUGUUUCCUGCCUUUGGAUGGAGCUCUCUCCUCAUCCAGAGGGUCAGCAAAUGUCUCCUGUUAUCUGCCUCCGACGGAAAUGCUGUUCUGCUGGUUGAUGAGCAGCAGUGACCAAGGGUGGCCCAUCCAUCACCUCGUUCACCCAGCCAUCCUGUGUCCCUUUGCUGAUUUCUGCCUUUUCUUCCUCUCAUAACUGUGUUAUGGCUCUGCUCCCCUUAAUUCAAGACCAAGAAACCUCCGCUUGUCCCUGUUGCCCUCAUCUGCCUGGCUGGGGGAUGGACUGGGACUGUGCUCAUUGCUCUGAGCACUUCUGAAUCUAUCUGGUUCAGCCUGAGCCCAAGGCAACCUGCAGCCAACAUUGUGCAUCCCAAGGAAGCCCCACUCACCCGCAGGCUGCACUCUCCAGCAUGUGCAGAUGCAGAAAAAUCUACCACGGAACAGCUGUGAGAUGUCCAGUCUUCAUAAUUCUGUGUUCUUCUUGUUUCUGUUUCAUCUGCCACAAUGAGUUGGCAGUCCUUUUGUUUUCUGUAUGACCACCAGUCAUGUUGAUCUCUCACCAUAUGUCUUUGGGCCUGAACUUGGUACCCAAAACUGGUCACUGCACUGGCUUCUUUUAUGGUGAUUUAUACUGAUUCAGAGUCCCAGAGAGGCAAAAGUUUGCUUUAUAGCUGUCUGGAUCUUUGCCUUCCGCCAUCACUCCUGGGAACUUGGGGUGCCCACAUGGGCACCAGGAACACUUGCCUUUGCUGCUGUGUGAGGCACAGCACAAGGUCAGCCUGGCAUUGCAGAUGCUGCUAGGUUACAGAGAUAAUAAUUCAUGUCUCUACCAACAGGUCACAUAUGAAAUUAAUGAAUGGCUU
ensembl:lncRNA